ensembl:lncRNA
UUGUGCCAAGAGAAUUUUGUCUCUGUCCUUUACCAUCACAAUUUGGGAGCUUGUCCUUGGUUACUUAACCUGGUGUCUCGAAAUCAUAUCCUAGCGGGUCAACCGUGCACAGCCGGAGACUGGGUCUCUGGAGCCUAAAUCCUUUCCCGCUUGUGGGCUAGCUACGUAAGGGGUGAGAGUCAGGGCUUUUUGGGAUUUUUGGGAUUCAUCAGUACAGGUACCCAGGCUGAAAUUUUGAACUCAGUAGGUAAGAGCACAAUGCAGUUAAUAUGGUUCUGGUAAUAUGUGUUAGGGCACGUGUAUAUGUGUUAGGGCACAUUCUGGUAAUAUGUGUUAGGGCACAUUUAAAAUAUGCAGACAAGGUUAGGACCUUCAACAUCUCACUUACGGGCCGAUGGGUCUAUUAACGAUGUUAGGGCACGUUAAUUGAGAUGAGAGUGUAAGGGCUCUUCUAUGCGUUAGGGCCUGGGUAUAUGUGUUAGGGCACAUUAAGUUAAAAUGGUUCUGAUGUGUGGGGCACACUCACAUGAAUUGAGAUAAAACUUGCCACGCAAGUUUUUACUGCAUUUGAUGAUGGGUAAGCGUUGUGGUAAAUAUUUUGCGGGGAAGUUGAUGUUUAUGGUGUUUGGUCAUGUGAACAAAUGUAUCUUUGGGAGUUAUUAGGUUUUCUGGUUAUUGGCGUUUUCAUUCAGUGAUGGAUGCAUGGCCUACCGGACGGAUUGGAGGAAUAUGGACGAGGUAACGUAUGGGAGUUGCAGAAAGCAUGAUGGGAAGUUUUUUUGGAAGGUGUAGGCUACAGUAUGUAGAAAUUGGUGACUGCUUGAAGCUUUAGGAAAGUUUGUGUGGGGUUUAUUGAUCUUUGUGUCGUAGUUCUUUUCGCUCAGGUUGGAUGGAUCGUCCCUCUGACCGCCCCCACCCUCGCCAGUUAUGUAAACUCUGUUGGCCCAGCCGAUGUUUACAGCGGCUAAGACCAAAGAAGACUACAGACCCCGGGUUGAGGAAGAGACUACGCUAACCGCUACGUUUUAAUUCAUGAAGCUGCCGCUAGACAUUCGACUGGACAUUGGAUUUGGGAAGAUACCCGUGGGAAUCAAGACGAUGGCGGUUUAUGUAGUGUUCCUGCAAGAAUAGAGACAGUUCCGGCUGUCUCCCUGGCCUCGCCGCGAGCGACCCAACAGGAGCACGCAGGAAUGCUAAACCGCCUGAGGGAAGGGUGCUGACGGUCAGGGGAGACAGACCAGAGAGCAUCAACCGGGGGAAAUCUUUUCUUAACACAACCCUGGUUUUUCUCUAACAUAUUUUAAGGAUACAGGAGUUACAGCUUUCAUAGGAUUUAGUAAAUUUUGUGGUUGGGUUUAGUAUGUCAGGUUUGAUGGAUUAGUGGAAGUUGAUAGGUGGUUUUGAGAAAUUUCAGUUUGUAGGAGUACUUUUUUAAUAGUAUUUCAGUUAUUGUAAAUGUAGUGAAGAAAAGGCCAUUGUUGUUCCAUGUCCUGUUAGCACUGGUAACGCUCCCAUGCUGUUUUCCAGGGCGAUUCGUGCAGGAUUUUAAGCAGCUCUUUGUUGGUGGAAUUGGUUUCUGUGCAGCUGUCUGUGCGAAAUGCAAGAAAGAUGUCUCGUUUGUUUUUUGACAGUAGGGGAAUUGUGCCCCUAUGUCUCCUUGUGCAACCUGUAUUAUAGGUAGGGAAGACUCGGUCCUGUGGGCUAGCGGUGUGCAGACCUCUGGAUGAUUUCCAACCACGUAGAAAGAGCACUGAUGGCUUAGGGGCUAUAUCUGUUGGGCAUCUAUUUGGUGGGGUAUAACCACAUGCUAUGCUCACUGAUGGCUUAGGGGCUAUAUCUGUUGCGCAUCUAUGUGGUGGGGUACAACCACAUGCUAUUCUCAGAGGACCUCGCAGAUUUUGUCAAGCUCUAUGUCCACCAAUUUAAGAGAUUUUAGGAUGGAGUAGGGAUUACUCCUGUAAAACGGCAAAGUUGUUGGUCAGCUUGUGGUUUGGCAAAUAGUAGAAUUAAUGAAGUUGUAUAUGAGCGUGGGCCGAUUGUGCUUGUUCUGUAUGAGAUUGUGGCCCGAGUGUCAUGGUUCUGGUAUCCUUCUUUCUCCCUCUUCUGGCCACACUCGCACUUACACACACACACACACGCGCACACACGCACACUCCCCAUGGCGCACACACACAACCACACACACCUUCACUCACCCUCAGCUGUUCCUAGUUGCAACCAGCGAUCGCGCUAAUUCUCCCACACCUGUUCUCUCUCCCCCCCUGAUUGUGUUUGCUACUUCUAGCUCUCCUUUUCCCUGCUUCUUUGCCAGAUUAUUCCAUGAGUUUUCCAUGCAAGAGGCACUCUCUUUCACCUGUUUGUUUCCCUUCCUGCCUGAGUCCUGUCUGGAUCUGCUGUAUCCUGUGAGACCCGAGACUAUACGCCGCAAGACCUGGUCCUUUUGCUGUACCCUGCCUCUGUUACUGGAAUAUUUCUGUAGUUUGUCUAACGCCCGUAUCGACGGCAGUUCCUUUUGUUAUUUAUAGAAGAGGAUUUCUGUUCACCUGGACUGUUACUCUUUCAUUAUUAAAGACAUUGCAUUAUUGCAUUUCGCUUUUGGAUCCUUUCUCACCUGUUAUAACACAGAGUCCCGGGCAUUUGUCAAUAUCUUGUUGUAGUCGACCUAGUAAAUUCAUUUCUCCUUUUUGGUAUUCCCUGUGCACGAGGGUUCCGAUUGGCUGCAUUUUGUAUUCCCUGGUGGAAUAUUUGUAUAUUUGAUCGAGAUUGUCGUUAACCUGGAAGUUUUGGCAUUUAUGGUCUACCAAAAGUGGGAAAAGUCCUGGGCUUCGGAAGGGGGGCAGACCCCCUGAGAUGGCCUCUACCAACCUUUCCCAUUAAAACAAAGGUAGCCUUUUACUACGAGUUAAAUUUUAGUUCUGACUGGUCUCACCUGUGGUUAAUUCCCCAUCAUGAGUAUAUUCACUUUUGGGUUAAUCGAACGUUAAGUGCAAGCUAAAUAUAUUUUCCUCUCAAUAGCGUUCAUGUUGAAAUUUCUGGUUUUUAACCCAAUUUGUAGUGAAGGUAGAGACCCGAAGUCAUCCCCCAUUGUUAAUAACUAGAACAAUCUCACUGUCGAUGCAUGAAAUUAGCAUGAAAGUUGCGAUUUUGGCUUACCGCCACUAUUUGGAAUAACAUAGACAUGCAUCACAGUUGGAAAAGUUCCUUAAACUUUUGGAGGUU